CCUACGGGAGGCUGCAGUGGGGGAUAUUGCACAAUGGGGGAAACCCUGAUGCAGCGACGCCGCGUGGGGGAAGAAGUAUUUCGGUAUGUAAAGCCCUAUCAGCAGGGAAGAAGAAAUGACGGUACCUGAGUAAGAAGCACCGGCUAAAUACGUGCCAGCAGCCGCGGUAAUACGUAUGGGGCAAGCGUUAUCCGGAUUUACUGGGUGGAAAGGGAGCGCAGGCGGCACGGCAAGCCUGAUGUGAAAGCCCGCGGCCCAACCGCGGGACUGCAUUGGGAACUGCCGGGCUGGAGUGCCGGAGAGGUAGGCGGAAUUCCUAGUGUAGCGGUGAAAUGCGUAGAUAUUAGGAGGAACACCAGUGGCGAAGGCGGCCUACUGGACGGUGACUGACGCUGAGGCUCGAAAGCGUGGGGAGCAAACAGGAUUAGAUACCCCUGUAGUC
rnacentral:rRNA from 1 species